GGAGUGUUCAAGAAAUGUGUCUUAGCGGUAACCCUCGAGCACCAGCCUUGAGUUCAGCCAACUGCAGACUUCGUUCAUCUCUUUUGGGACCGUGUAAUGGCCGAGCCUGCAAAUAAGAUCAUCAUGGAUGAGCUUCUUAUGGAGGAGGUUCUGAUAGCAGAGCAUUACAGAUUUUCAAAUAUUUGGUGCGAGGAAUAGAUUCUACAGCUGAAAAAGAUCAUUUUGACAACACGCUCACCACUAAGUGGCUACACAGAGGUCAGAUGUUUAAAUAGAGUGACAGCAUGCCCCAUUCCUCAUAUGGGAUGAUGGGAUGAGCCUCUCCAACCCAGCUAAAGGAUAUCUUUCUUCUAUCUUCACCUUGUGUCUAGACUAGAUAUAAUGAAAGCAUAAUAUCACUAGGCAGGAAGCUGGUGCAAAUCCAUUGACUAGACAUUUGUGAACCACAGCUCAGUAAACUUAUUUUCUGUCCUACAAUAUUUUUUUUUAUGUUCCCAAGUGUCUAAGCUAAAGUUAUUCUCACGAGAUUAAUUAUUUGGUCUUAUUA